GAUGAAGAACGUAGCGAAAUGCGAUAAGUAAUGUGAAUUGCAUAAUUCAGUGAAUCAUCGAAUCUUUGAACGCACAUUGCGCCCCCUGGUAUUCCGGGGGGCAUGCCUGUCCGAGCGUCAUUACAACCCUCAAGCUCUGCUUGGUGUUGGGCCCCGCCGCCCCGGCGGGCCCUAAAGUCAGUGGCGGUGCCAUCCGGCUCCGAGCGUAGUAAUUCUUCUCGCUCUGGAGGUCCGGUUGUGUGCUUGCCAUCAACCCCCAAUUUUUUUCAGGUUGACCUCGGAUCAGGUAGGGAUACCCGCUGAACUUAAGCAUAUCAAUAAGCGGAGGA
rnacentral:misc_RNA from 1 species